CUGUGGGCUCUUUAAACCCUUCCGGAGGGCGGGGACUCCAGCGUCCUUGUACAAUACCCGUCCAUUCCCCAGCCGAGGCGCAGCAUGGCCUCACAGCCCAUACCUGCUGAUUGGCUGUUUGGUUAGUAGCCUCCUCUCUAUUGGAUAUAUCGCUGAUGAAGGCCAUAUCCCAUUGGCUUCUGCGGAUAGUGACAUUGUAGGAAGAGAAAACAGAGAGGCGAUGCCAAGGUUUAAAGUGACAGGGGUCUAAAUAACAACUAGUCCGAGGAAGACCUUUUCAGUGAACCUGUCUGGUAGAAGAAUAAAAGAUGGCGGACAAGAUUAAAACACCACGUACCAGUGAAUUGGAGUUCGGAGGACCAAUGGGAGCCCUCCUGUUACUCUUUGUAAUGCCGGGAACAGUCUUGUAUCUUCUGGUGACGUGUAACACAGACGACGCCAGUGUGUUGCGUGUGCCGGGUCCCUGGCCCUCUUUGGACACUUUGUGGGACCCUUCUGCUGUGAUCUUACUGCUUGCAUGGGUGUCUCUGCAGGCUCUGCUGCAUAUUCUGCCUAUUGGAAAGGUAACCGAAGGAAUUACUUUAAGAGACAACACUCGUCUGAAGUACAGAAUUAACGCAUUACAAGCCAUGAUGGUGACUGCGCUCCUAGUGGCGGGAGCAGUGAUGUUUGGGUUCCCAUUCUCCUAUGUUUAUGAUCAUUUCCUGCAACUGGCAGUGGCUGCCGCAUUUAUAGCUCUAGUUCUCAGCAUCUUUCUCUAUGCCAAGUCCCUUGCAGCUCCUGAAUCAGCGCUGGCACCGGGAGGGAAUUCAGGUAACCCACUGUAUGAUUUCUUUAUUGGACAUGAAUUAAACCCCAGGAUUGGCUCCUUUGAUUUGAAAUAUUUCUGCGAGCUUCGCCCUGGACUUAUUGGCUGGUGCCUAAUAAAUCUUUGCUUCAUGAUGAAGGAGGUUGAGCUUCGUGGCUCCCCAUCCCUCUCUAUGAUGCUGGUGUUUGGAUUCCAGGCUCUGUAUGUCGCAGAUGCCAUGAAGAAUGAGGAAGCCAUCCUCACUACAAUGGACAUUGUUCACGAUGGAUUUGGUUUCAUGUUGGCUUUUGGUGACCUGUGCUGGGUUCCUUUCACCUACUCACUGCAAGGAUAUUUCCUAGUCAGGCACCCUCAGGAACUGGGCACUUACACUGCACUUGGCAUCAUCCUACUAAACGCUGUGGGAUAUAUCAUUUUCCGUGGCUCUAACUCACAGAAGAAUGCCUUCCGAAGAAAUCCUUCCGACCCCAAAGUUGCUGGGCUUGCAACUAUUCCAACAGCAACUGGAAAACGUCUUCUUGUGUCUGGCUGGUGGGGCCUUGUUCGUCACCCAAAUUACUUAGGAGAUUUAAUUAUGGCCCUGGCCUGGUCUCUGCCCUGUGGGCUGUCAAACAUCCUACCGUAUUUCUAUAUCAUCUAUUUCACCGUCCUUCUGGUGCACCGGGAGGCAAGGGAUGAACACCAGUGUAUGAAGAAGUAUGGACUCGCCUGGCAGGAAUAUUGCAGAAGGGUCCCCUACAGAAUUUUUCCGUAUAUCUACUGAUCUCCAUGGAAUUCUCCGCUAUACCUCCUUUGCAUUUGGGCCUGGUUCCGAAAAACAAAUGUUUUAAUGAUAUGUAUGCUGCAUUCCGAUGCUUUACAUUGCUUUCAUUUGCUGCCAAACAAUAUAAAGCAGCAGAUGGAAAGAAAUAAUGGCCUAGAUCGUAGCGUAUAAGAACCAACAUUACUGUAAGGUCUCUAACUAAAAAGUGACUUAUUCAGGUACAGGUGCAUUCAUCUGUUCUGUGUAGACUUACAACUAAUAGAAAAAUCCAGUUGAAAAACAGUCCCCUUAAAUGGCAGCAUGCGUGUGCCACCUUUCUUGCAUUAGUUGCAGAUGCAAAAAUCCUGUUUAAUUUAAUCUAAAUAAUUCCUCAAGCAUAUUAUUAGAUAUCUUACAUUCUGAUGCACUGAUUUUUUUUUCAUUAUAAUUAAUGACAUCCAAAAAUGAUUUGUCCAUGUAAAAAUUCUUAAGCUGUUUACUCUCAAGUAGAUAAAGUUGGGGUGCUGCCUAGAGCCACCCACAUGCAUGACUUAUCUCACGCAUCUCAUGCAGUUAUUCAGCACCUAUAAUGACUAGUCAGUACUUUGCCCAUAUAGCUAUUAGGAAUUACAGUUACAGCUAUUCUAAAGCCUUCUGCACAGGGGCAAUUUGUACAUAUUUACAUAUAUCCACCUUGUAGUCUAUGGAGGUGCAAACAAAACCUUCAUGACAGCACAAUGGCUAGUAAUGUGCUGACCCCUUUUUCUGCCAGUGGGCUACGAUCACUGCUAUUUAGUGCCUUAUUUUAACCAAAAGGUAUGAUCGAACCAAUUUUACUUCUCAUAUGAAACAUUUGCUUUCCGCACAGUUUGUUUAUGACAUAUGCCUGAUGCCUCCCCAUUUCAAGGAAUUCUGUCAUGUGAUUUUAUUUUUUACAAAAUGCAUCAGUUAAUAGUGCUAUGUAAGCAGAAUCUUGGAUUGAAAUCUGUUUUUCAAAAGAUGUUUAUGUUUAAUUUUGAAAUUUGACAUUGGACUAAACUAUGUCAGUUUCCCAGGUGCCCUCAGUCAUGUGCAUUGUGCAGUGCUGGCUCUAAAAGCACAGGAUCAGGUAAAAUGACCUGGGAUUGCUGCCUAUACACCAAUAUUACAACUUAAAAAACAUUUAGUUCAAGAAUAUAAUUUUAAAUGGUAGAAUGAAUUAUUUGCAGUGUAAACAGUGUCAUUUAGUAAUAAAAACUACAUCAACAUCACAACAGAAUCCAUUUAAGCUCAUGAUAUUACAAAGGAGUGAAUUACUUUUUGUAUAUCUUUCUCAUAUUUGUUUAAUAAAAUUCUAUGCCCAUAUUGUCCGAUAUAAAUGUCAAAUUAUAAAGGAAUCAGUUGAAGGCAUGUAUUGCUUAAAUUUAGUAUUUACUGACAUGUUCCCGCUGACCUUGCUGUUUACAGAUUAUGCCCUUACAAGUCUGCUUCAUAGAUAAAGGAACAUUUUAAGAACCAUGGUGCCGAUGUAUAGAAAGUAUCAUUUCCAUUGUACACAAAGUAAUAGGAUGAGCAUGAAAAUUAAUUUUAAAGGAAACAAUAGGUUUUGAUGUGAUUUUAUAUAAUGUGUGUAUGGGGAAGGGGUUAUUGUGUGUAUCUGUAUGAAAUGUAAUUAAAAUUUUCUAUAAACAAAGAAUAACUGACCUUUUUGUGAGUAUUUAGAAUAAAGGGGAUUUUACAUUGAAA